rnacentral:misc_RNA from 1 species
AGCAGCCGCGGUAAUUCCAGCUCCAAUAGCGUAUAUUAAAGUUGUUGCAGUUAAAAGCUCGUAGUUGAAUUUCGGGAUCAAUUAAUCGGUCGUGCCUCUGGUACGCACUGGUUUUAUUGGUUUCUCCCUUCUGACGAACCAGGAUGUCAUUAAUUUGGUGUCUUGGAGAAUCAGGACUGUUACUUUGAAAAAUUAGAGUGUUUAAAGCAGGCUAACGCUUGAAUACAUUAGCAUGGAAUAAUGAAAUAGGACGUUUGAUCCUAUUUUGUUGGUUUCUAGGAUCGACGUAAUGAUUAAUAGGGAUAGUUGGGGGCAUUAGUAUUCAAUUGUCAGAGGUGAAAUUCUUGGAUUUAUUGAAGACUAACUACUGCGAAAGCAUUUGCCAAGGAUGUUUUCAUUAAUCAAGAACGAAAGUUAGGGGAUCGAAGACGAUCAGAUACCGUCGUAGUCUUAACCAUAAACUAUGCCGACUGGGGAUCGGAUGAUGUUAAUUUUUAAUGACUCAUUCGGCGCCUUACGG